AGUGUCUUCCCGUUCAGUUCUGUCCCCCAUUAAAUUCUUCUGGUCUCAUGUGCCAUCUUUCAUCGAAGCCGUUGCCUGGGGAAUCUGCCUGGCUGGGCACAUGAUCAUCCCUCAGGUGAGCUCCGCAGUACUGAGGCUGUUUCCAUUGGGGGUGUUCAUGAGUAAGAUGCCCUUCCUCGUGGCAGCCUCCAGAUUCACAUUGUCCACGCCUGUACCAGCCUUGCCCACCAACUGGAGCUUCCCUGCUGCAUUGAUGGCAUCAGAAGUAGCAUCUUCUACAACUACAUAGGAUACUUGUUGUCUUGUCAUUUAAUCAGUGUCCGUUUCCAAGAGUUUGUCCUUUGGUAGCAAGCAGAGAACAUUUUUCAUUUCUAUGAUUUAAAUAAUCUGUACAGAUAUGAAACUUCAUGACAUUAUGCUUUAGUGUAAAAUGAAGGGCGAGCAUUUUCAAUCUCCUUUUUACUAAAUCAGAAGUUUUGAUUGGUCGAAGAGUGAUGAGCAUAGCGGCCUUCCAAAUUUUUUGAUUACUGACAAUAAGACUGAGCAGUUGUAGCCCAUACCAACUGCUUGAAGGCAUGCGGUUGCUUCUUCCUGUCUUUUUUUCCCCACCCCUCAGUUAAGGGCUGUGUGUCACUUACCUUGGCAUCUCCAUCCAGUUAGGGCAGUGGCGCUAUGGGCACCUGCUCCAAUAGUCCACAAGUGGGAAUCAGAGUGACAGGCUGGUCACAGAUAGCGUGACAAUGUUGACCUUUCCCCCCAAA
rnacentral:lncRNA from 1 species